CAAGAGAAAAUUGUCAUGAUGGAAACACCACUCGAUGUGCUUUCUCGAGCGGCUACACUCGUUGAAACAGAUCCAAAAGAAGGAGCUUCUAGACUUGAACUACAAAUUUGAGCUUGGACUAGCUGCUGCCUCCAGCAUCAAAACCAUUUGGAGGGAAUUUGAUGGAAAUCUUUGGCCAAACAAUAGGGGGCUCGCUGAGAGAGGUCUUGGAAUGUAAAGCAAUAUCCUCAUUUGAAAAACAUGGGCAAAUUUAAAGCUAACCGAGCCCAUGUGGCCCCAAAUAUUUCACUGUUAACCUGGACAUGUGAACCAAGGGAGCUUUGCAAAAUCUACAUCCUGUAGUCUAGCGGCAUGACAUUUAACACGUUUCCUUCGUGUAAUUAAUACUUUAAUAUGAAGGAUGAUGAAGCGUUCCAUUGUGAAAUCAAUACAUAGUUGAUGUUAUUAUGUUACAUUGUGUGUGAAAAAUGAAUCUUAAACAUUUUGCAGUGUCUCACAUUUUCUGCGUUUUGAGAAGUAUGAAGAUCAUAGGAUCCGUAGACUACUUUCCGUAAGACUUGAAGACAUUUGGGUUUGGUCUUCUCCCAGAGACCAGUGUGUGCUUACGCUUUUUUCCCCCGUUGAGCACGCCUGCCUGCCUGCCUGCCUGCCUAUCGGGAAGUGCGCUUUCAACUUCCACCUCGUCAGCCCUCAAGCUGUUGUUAAGAUCUGGUAUCCAGGGAUGUUGGGAUGACCCCUGCAUUCUUAGCAUAGCUCAGAUUGUCAUUUGCAUAGCUAGCUGGUGUUUGGACCUGGUUUCACUCAAUACAGUCCUAGAGACAACUUCAAUUUAGGUUAUGUCUAGUGGAAAAUGGGUCAAGACCAAGACAUUGAUCUACAUGUAUAAGACCUGCUUGUGUGCAACUAAUUCCCAUCUCUUGGUUGUUUUGGGUGUUGAUUCCUCCCCAACUUUGCAAAAUGUUCUUUUCCAAAAAGCGUGACCACUUUUAUCACAUUUUUCAUCAAACAAUUUUACCCAAAUUGAUUGCAGUUCUGUUUGCCUUAGCGCACACGGAUGACGUAAUCGACUACAGUGUACAUAUACAUUCCGAC